CGAAGCAGAGCAUCUCUUAUGCAUCUCUUUUACACUGAGAAGAUAAUAAAUUUUUAUUUGCUUUGA
rnacentral:tRNA from 1 species